rnacentral:sRNA from 1 species
GCUGGGUGUAGUGGUGGGCGCCUGUAAUCCCAGCUACUCAGGAGGCUGAGGCAGGAGAAUCGCUUGAACCCGGGAGACGGAGGUUGCAGUGAGCCAAGAUCGUGCCACUGCACUCCAGCCUGGGCAACAGAGUGAGAUUCUGUCUCAA